rnacentral:rRNA from 1 species
UGGGCGCAAGCCUGAUCCAGCCAUACCGCGUGGGUGAAGAAGGCCUUCGGGUUGUAAAGCCCUUUUGUUGGGAAAGAAAAGCAUUCGGUUAAUACCCGGGUGUUCUGACGGUACCCAAAGAAUAAGCACCGGCUAACUUCGUGCCAGCAGCCGCGGUAAUACGAAGGGUGCAAGCGUUACUCGGAAUUACUGGGCGUAAAGCGUGCGUAGGUGGUGGCUUAAGUCCGUUGUGAAAGCCCUGGGCUCAACCUGGGAAUUGCAGUGGAUACUGGGUCACUAGAGUGUGGUAGAGGAUAGUGGAAUUUCCGGUGUAGCAGUGAAAUGCGUAGAGAUCGGAAGGAACAUCUGUGGCGAAGGCGACUAUCUGGGCCAACACUGACACUGAGGCACGAAAGCGUGGGGAGCAAACAGGAUUAGAUACCCUGGUAGUCCACGCCCUAAACGAUGCGAACUGGAUGUUGGGUUCAACUUGGAACCCAGUAUCGAAGCUAACGCGUUAAGUUCGCCGCCUGGGGAGUACGGUCGCAAGACUGAAACUCAAAGGAAUUGACGG